UACGUAGGGGGCAAGCGUUGUCCGGAAUCAUUGGGCGUAAAGAGCGUGUAGGCGGUCCGAUAAGUCCGCUCUGAAAGCCCGGGGCUCAACCCCGGGAGGCGGGCGGAUACUGUCGGGCUAGAGUCCGGAAGAGGCAAGUGGAAUUCCUGGUGUAGCGGUGAAAUGCGCAGAUAUCAGGAGGAACACCGAUGGCGAAGGCAGCUUGCUGGGACGGUACUGACGCUGAGACGCGAAAGCGUGGGGAGCAAACAGG
rnacentral:rRNA from 2 species